GGCAGAGGUGGAAGCACGGUAACGUGUGGAGCUGACUGUUACUAAUAGGUCGAGGGCUUGACCAAAAA
rnacentral:rRNA from 1 species